rnacentral:rRNA from 1 species
UACGGAGGGUGCGAGCGUUGUCCGGAAUCACUGGGCGUAAAGGGCGCGUAGGCGGCCUGAUAAGUAGGGGGUGAAAUCCUGCGGCUUAACCGCAGGGCUGCCUUCUAAACUGUCAGGCUUGAGCACAGUAGAGGCAGGUGGAAUUCCCGGUGUGGCGGUGGAAUGCGUAGAGAUCGGGAAGAACAUCAGUGGCGAAGGCGGCCUGCUGGGCUGUUGCUGACGCUGAGGCGCGACAGCGUGGGGAGCAAACAGG